GUAUUUAUUAUUUGAUUUAUAGGCUGCAAAUAUUGUUUCCUCAAGCAUACAGCCGCUUCAGAAUAUAGGUGUACUGAAGUAUAUUGGGGAAAAAGUUCAUCCUGAUGAGAAGCUUGUUUGGGUUCAGUAUCAUAUUGGCAAAGGCUUUGCAGCUCUUGAGAAGCUAUUAAAAGAUUAUGCUGGGAAAUAUGCCACUGGAGAUGAAGUCUGUCUGGUUUGUUUCUUCC